UACGGAGGAUGCAAGCGUUAUCCGGAAUCAUUGGGCGUAAAGCGUCCGCAGGUGGCAGUUCAAGUCUGCUGUCAAAGACUGGGGCUUAACCCUGUAAAGGCAGUGGAAACUACAAGACUAGAGUGCAGUAGGGGCAGAGGGAAUUCCCAGUGUAGCGGUGAAAUGCGUAGAGAUUGGGAAGAACAUCCGUGGCGAAAGCGCUCUGCUGGACUGCAACUGACAUUGAGGGACGAAAGCUAGGGGAGCGAAUGGG
rnacentral:rRNA from 1 species